rnacentral:rRNA from 1 species
UACGGAAGGCAGCAGUGGGGAAUAUUGCACAAUGGGCGAAAGCCUGAUGCAGCUAUGCCGCGUGUAUGAAGAAGGCCUUAGGGUUGUAAAGUACUUUCAUCGGGGAGGAAAAAACAAAACUAAUAAUUUUAUUUCUUGACGUUACCCGAAAAAGAAGCACCGGCUAACUCCGUGCCAGCAGCCGCGGUAAUACGGAGGGUGCUAGCGUUAAUCAGAAUUACUGGGCGUAAAGAGCACGUAGGUGGUUUUUUUAAGUCAGAUGUGAAAUCCCUGGGCUUAACCUAGGAACUGCAUUUUGAAACUGAAAUACUAGAGUAUCGUAGAGGGAGGUAGAAUUCUAGGUGUAGCGGUGAAAUGCGUAGAUAUCUGGAGGAAUACCUGUGGCGAAAGCGGCCUCCUAAACGAAUACUGACACUGAGGUGCGAAAGCGUGGGGAGCAAACAGGGAUUAGAUAC